rnacentral:misc_RNA from 1 species
GUGAAUCAUCGAAUCUUUGAACGCACAUUGCGCCCGCCAGUAUUCUGGCGGGCAUGCCUGUCUGAGCGUCAUUUCAACCCUCACGCCCCUAGGGCGUGGUGUUGGGGAUCGGCCAGCGCCCGCGAGGGCGAGGCCGUCCCCUAAAUCUAGUGGCGGACCCGUCGUGGCCUCCCCUGCGAAGUAGUGAUAUUCCGCAUAGGAGGAGCGAUGAGCCCCUGCCGUUAAACCCCCAACUUUCUCAGGUUGACCUCAGAUCAGGUAGGAAUACCCGCUGAACUUAAGCAUAUCAAUAAGCGGAGG